UACAGAGGUCUCAAGCGUUGUUCGGAUUCAUUGGGCGUAAAGGGUGCGUAGGUGGUGAUGCAAGUCUGGUGUGAAAUCUCGGAGCUCAACUCCGAAAUUGCACCGGAUACUGCGUGACUCGAGGACUGUAGAGGAGAUCGGAAUUCACGGUGUAGCAGUGAAAUGCGUAGAUAUCGUGAGGAAGACCAGUUGCGAAGGCGGAGCUCUGGGCAGUUCCUGACACUGAGGCACGAAGGCCAGGGGAGCAAACGGG
rnacentral:rRNA from 1 species